rnacentral:lncRNA from 1 species
CGUUGGACUUUUGCUUCUUCUUUGACAAGGACUGCCGCAAGGGCCAUGGGAGAGACCGCCAGGUAUAAAAAUUAUUCCUCUCCAAGCUCUGGCUUCGCCAACAGCGGGGGUGAGCCGAGGUAGCUCCUUAGUUCUUCGAAUGCUUGUUGGCACUCAGGGGUCCAACAGAAGUUCUUCGGUUGCUUGAGAGUUUGGAAAAAGGGUAAGCACCGUUCGGCUGACCUCACG